rnacentral:lncRNA from 1 species
CAACAAGUUCUUUAUAUGAACAGCGUGAUAAAGACACAAGUUAGAAUCAUUACGUUCUUUGGAACUCAUAAGCAUCGACAAGGCAUUCGUAACUAUGAAAAGCAUGAUACUCUUGCCAGGAAUCUACUUAACACGAUCGUGACUAGCGACCUUCACUACUUACGAAUAUAAAUUCAUAACCAUUAGGUGAAACAAACUUAUAUCCUAGCAUCAAAUUCAAGCAUGCAAAUUAAGCGUGCACUCUCAACCAACAUACAAGAAUAAGUUCUAAAUCAAAAGGUUAAGCAAAUUGUAUUCACGACUUAUACAACGAUAACUGAAAGUAAUCAACUUAUUUCACAUAUAUAAUCAUGGUUUUGAAUCCACCCUUAGCCAAAACGAAAUUAGCCAAUCAUACUUAAAGCAAAACAAAGAUUACAUGAAUUAGACAUUAAAAUCCAAAGAAAGAAAACACCUAGAAUGCUCCAACUUGGCAGCAAGUGCAUCCAAGAUUCCUCAUUUCCCUUGCUUGUGGCAGAUUGGUUUGUGGACAGGUUUUGGGUAGUUCUAUGGUGCAGAAAGGUUUAUGGUGAGUGUAGAGGAGUGUUUGAUGGUGGAAGAGUGGUGGAGAACUUCGGCAAAAAGGGUGGAAGAAGGUGGAGUGGCUGUGAUAUUUUCUGGGCACUAGAAUGGUGUUUUUUGGGUGUUUUGCUGCCUAGGGUGAGUAUGGACGAAUUUCUGUGAUGAAUGGUGAAU